rnacentral:rRNA from 1 species
GAGUUUGAUCCUGGCUCAGGGUGAACGCUGGCGGCGUGCCUAACACAUGCAAGUCGAUCGGAGCAGCAAUGCUAGAGGGCGAACGGGUGAGGAAAACGUAGUAACCAACCCUUUAGACUGGGAUAGCCACUGGAAACGGUGGGUAAUACCGGAUAAGCCCGAGAGAGGAAAGGCAGAGAAGCGCUAAAGGACGGAACUGCGCCCCAUCAGAUAGUUGGUGAGGUAAAGGCUUACCAAGUCAAAGACGGGAAACCGACGUGAGAGCGUGUACGGUCACAAGGGCACUGAGAGACGGGCCCUACUCCUACGGGAGGCAGCAGUGGGGAAUAUUGGACAAUGGACGAAAGUCUGAUCCAGCGACGCCGCGUGGAGGAAGAAAUCCUUCGGGAUGUAAACUCAUGAAGCUAACGAAUAAGACGGAAGGGGAACCUUCCGGGAGAAGGUAAUUAGUGAAAAGCCCCGGCUAACUACGUGCCAGCAGCCGCGGUAAUACGUAGGGGGCGAGCGUUGCCCGGAAUUACUGGGCGUAAAGGGAACGUAGGUGGCUCUUAAAGUCAGGUGUGAAAAUAACGAAGCUUAACAGGUUAAUGCGCUUGAAACUAAAGGGCUUGAGGGCAAUAGAGGGAGAUGGAAUUACCUGUGUAGGGGUGAAAUCCGCAGAUAUAGGUAAGAAGGCCGGUGGGGAAGCCGAUCUCCUGGGUUGACUCUGACACUGAGGUUCGAAAGCUAGGGGAGCAAACCGGAUUAGAUACCCGGGUAGUCCUAGCCGUAAACGAUGCUCACUGGGUGUGGGUCGAAAAGAUCUGUGCUGAAGCUAACGCGAUAAGUGAGCCGCCUGGGGAGUACGUCCGCAAGGAUGAAACUUAAAGGAAUUGACGG